ACCGAAGUUAAGCCACAACGUGCGAGGUUAGUACCUGGAUGGGUGACCGCCUGGGAAUACCGCGUGCUGUUCAGG
rnacentral:rRNA from 1 species